UAUACCCUUCUUUGUCAAGGCUUUGAUGAUAAGCCAAUGGUUAAAAGGGCUGUCAUUGUAACCCCCACAAGCUUAGUUAGCAACUGGGAAUCUGAGAUAAUUAAGUGGUUGAAAGGCAGAGUGCAGGUGCUGGCCCUCUAUGAAAGCACACGUGCUGAUGUUCUUUCCGGAAUUGAAAGUUUCUUAAAACCCUUGAGCCGUCUCCAGGGGGAGGAACUGCGCAAGCACAUUGGCGCAACUUGUUACAUCGAAUGCAGCUAAAAAACUCAGCAGAUUAUUAAGGGCAGGCAGACCUUACUUGUUUUAUGGCUAGAAAUAAUGAGGGUCAUCUCCAGCUGCCAGAGAUGGAUCAUAUUAAACCCAAGAACACCCCGCACAAUGAACCACUGCCUCUAGGCCAGAAGCUUAUGCUGCAUCAUGGAAGUGAUGCACCCCUUAGAAUUGGUCAUUCAAGUCAUGAGAAUAUGAGACUUAGAUCAAAUGAUCUUCCACCUUUAAGUCACACUGUGCAAACUCAAGGUUAUAGAGUUGGGAACCCAGGAGCCUCACAUGCUCCUUUUGUUCAUUGUCAUGCUGGAAGUUCCAGUAGUCAUUUACCAGAACCUGCUGUGAAUUAUCCACAUAUGUCGGAGGAAGGCUUUGCUCCAGUGGGUUCCCAUAUGGACAACAGAAGGGCUGCAACGAAGCGAAAAGAUCCUAUUGUGCACCCUGCUGGGAUCAGUGCUACUGGUUAUUAUGUUGGAAGUUCUUCCAAUACUCAGCUAUCUAACUCUGUGCAGCCAAAUCCUGCUCCACUUUCUGAGCCCUUACUUCGUCAAAUACGUUUAAGCAUUGACCGAAGUGGUUGGGAUGGCCUACACUUAAUUCAUCAAGAAGGAUUUCAGAGGAAUGUGAGAGCACGCCAGCGCCACAGUCAUAAUAUUUCAUUAGAGCCCAGAACAGCUUCAACCUGCCCACUAAACAGUGUUCAUGUGC